UAUAUCAAACUGAAAAGCACACCCCGAAUACCUGAAUAUUUCGUGAACUGUUUAAAGUUUGAAUCACGUCUGUAGGUGAAAAAAUGUAGGAGGAGAUACAUUUUGAAGCAGAAGAGGAUUUGACGCUUGCUCUCAUUGACUUUAAUGUUAAAAUAAACUGUUUUAAAGCUUAAUAUUUGAAAAGGUAUAAAUAGCAGAAAAAAA